AUUGAACGCUGGCGGCAGGCUUAACACAUGCAAGUCGAGCGAGCGGCGGACGGGUGAGUCAUGUCUGGGAAACUGCCUGAUGGAGGGGGAUAACUACUGGAAACGGUAGAUAAUACCGCAUACCAUCAGAUGUGCCCAGUUGGGAUUAGCUAGUAGGUGGGGUAAUGGCUCACCUAGGCGACGAUCCCUAGCUGGUCUGAGAGGCUGACCAGCCACACUGGAACUGAGACACGUGCCAGACUCCAACGUGAGGCAGAAGUGGGAAUUAUUGCACAAUGGGGGCAAGCCUGAGGCAGCCAUGCGGCGUGUGUGAAGAGGUCCUUCGGGUUGUAAAGCACUUUCAGCGAGGAGGCGUUACUCGAAGAAGAAGCACCGGCUAACUCCGUACCAGCAGCCGCGGUAAUUC
rnacentral:rRNA from 1 species